rnacentral:rRNA from 1 species
AGAGUUUGAUCAUGGCUCAGAUUGAACGCUGGCGGUAGGCUUAACACAUGCAAGUCGAGCGGAAACGAAGAAAAGCUUGCUUUUCAGGCGUCGAGCGGCGGACGGGUGAGUAACGCGUAGGAAUCUGCCUAGUAGUGGGGGACAACCUGUGGAAACGCAGGCUAAUACCGCAUAAUCCCUGAGGGGGAAAGGAGGGGAUCUUCGGACCUUUCGCUAUUAGAUGAGCCUGCGUGAGAUUAGCUAGUUGGUGAGGUAAAGGCUCACCAAGGCGACGAUCUCUAGCUGGUCUGAGAGGAUGAUCAGCCACACUGGGACUGAGACACGGCCCAGACUCCUACGGGAGGCAGCAGUGGGGAAUAUUGGACAAUGGGCGCAAGCCUGAUCCAGCCAUACCGCGUGUGUGAAGAAGGCCUUAGGGUUGUAAAGCACUUUCAGAAGGGAGGAAAGGUUGAUGUUUAAUACGCAUUAGCUGUGACGU